UCAGAACAGGGUCAAUCCCUUGCCUGCCUCUUCAGACAAACGAAAGUGCUGGGGAAUUUUAGCUCAAACAGGAACUGAAAAUGCUCUUCCGUUUAAGAUGAUGUCAUCUCACCUGUAACAUUGUAGAUGUUGCUCAUGUGCUCCAUGUGGAAGAAAGGCUGGUCUUGUGGAUAGUUAAUUAUUUAUACAAGGUGUCACCCUCCGAAGGGAGAGACUGAGAGAGAGAUAAAGAGCCUGGUCAUAGAGCUGGGCACUCAGCUGGGAUGUGAAACAGGCAGAACAGGGACCUGAGUCUGACACUCCCACAUGAGUGUCCGAACCAGCAGGCUAUUGGCUGUGUGGGGACUGGGGCCUCUGUCUUGUUUUUCAUGAAAAAUUUGCAGUUUUGUGCUGAUGCAAAAUGAAAACAGUUUCUAAAACCACCAUUUGUCUCCAAGCAAUGGAACUCUGGUUUUCCAGCCAGCCCUAAGCGUGAUCUCGGAGGUGCAGACGGUUGGGUUCCCCCAUCUCAGACCUAACAGUGGCUGCAGGAUAAUUAAAGGGCCAGGACUGUAAUGUUAUUUGAAGCCAGAGUAACUCCUAUACAAAUUAAAUGGGCACAAAAUAUCCAGCUGAGAACCUGCGAGGAAUUCCCUGAGGUUCCAGCUCUUCUGCAAGGCCAGUGGAAAGAUCUUCCCAUGCAGUUCCGGUCAAACUUUAUUCUUCACCCAUCACAAGUACAAAAAUGAACAUUGUCAAUACCAAUGACUAGAGGACCAAUGGUGUAGCACAGCAAAGUUCAGGUGCAAAAGGCAAUGGCAGGACCUUAGCUGUGGAACACCUGACUAGAGGAGAUUAAAGUGAACUGGACACCCCCAUCCAGCAACAAAUCCCUCAUCAGGCUCUACAGCAGAACAGAAGUAGCUGAACUCCUGAGCAGUGUUUAGGGGUAUCUCUCACUUUGAAGGGAAGCAGGAAUAUAGCCUUGAAGUGAUGGAAAUAGGGAUAGCCAUCAUGGGAGGUGAGGUCACAGCAUCCCUGCCAGUUAAAGAAGAUAAAAGGACCUGGGUAUCCAUUGCAAACCAAGGAAACACAAAGGGCUGGCAUAUCCCCAUUAUGGCUUCUGGUUUUAGUAGGAAGAAAAUGGUGCUGGGCUGGGGUAGAAAGGAAUGAUCCCCUGGCUUAAAUACCAGUCAUCAGUAUAACAGAAAAAAACCGGGAGGAACACAUUUAAAGGCUGCUGACUCUUCCAGAUGAGGAUAUACUAGAGCAUUGACAUCACGGCCCCACCUCUUUUUGCUUUGCCUGUCAAGAUGCAGAAACAUAGGCACACAGCUGAAGCUGUCCUGUACACUGAUCAGGAGUUUUUUGGGGGCACCACUGUUUGGCCAAGCUGAGUGGCCCAUAUGUUUCAGACAAGCCCCAAAGAAGGAAAAAACCCUUGAAGUUGAAUUUCUUCCAGACCGACCUCUCCAUUACAAGAAGCGAAAACUUUCCAUGCUCUAUAAAGCCACAGGCCUUUCUUUGUUUACAGGGUCCCCUUGAUGCAAU